UUUAAGCAUUUGAUUGUUCAUUUUUUUUUCUUCUAUUUUUUCUUGGUAGGAUCUCUAAAAGGGAAAGAUGACAGUGCAACAAAAUCAUCAAAGGGAAGGAAGGUUCAGUUUUCUAAAGAAGGUGCAUUUGAAUCUGGAAUAAGUAGUUCACUUACUUCACUAAAAUCUGGUG